rnacentral:rRNA from 1 species
UACGUAGGGUGCGAGCGUUGUCCGGAAUUAUUGGGCGUAAAGGGCUCGUAGGCGGUUUGUCGCGUCGGGAGUGAAAACCAGGUGCUUAACACCUGGCUUGCUUUCGAUACGGGCAGACUAGAGGUAUGCAGGGGAGAACGGAAUUCCUGGUGUAGCGGUGAAAUGCGCAGAUAUCAGGAGGAACACCGGUGGCGAAGGCGGUUCUCUGGGCAUGACCUGACGCUGAGGAGCGAAAGCGUGGGGAGCAAACGGG